rnacentral:rRNA from 1 species
CGAGUGAGCGGCAGAGCUCAGAUUUGAAAUCGUGCUUUGCGGCACGAGUUGUAGAUUGCAGGUUGGAGUCUGUGUGGAAGGCGGUGUCCAAGUCCCUUGGAACAGGGCGCCCAGGAGGGUGAGAGCCCCGUGGGAUGCCGGCGGAAGCAGUGAGGCCCUUCUGACGAGUCGAGUUGUUUGGGAAUGCAGCUCCCAGCGGGUGGUAAAUUCCAUCUAAGGCUAAAUACUGGCGAGAGACCGAUAGCGAACAAGUACUGUGAAGGAAAGAUGAAAAGCACUUUGAAAAGAGAGUGAAACAGCACGUGAAAUUGUUGAAAGGGAAGGGUAUUGCGCCCGACAUGGGGAUUGCGCACCGCUGCCUCUCGUGGGCGGCGCUCUGGGCUUUCCCUGGGCCAGCAUCGGUUCUUGCUGCAGGAGAAGGGGUUCUGGAACGUGGCUCUGCGGAGUGUUAUAGCCAGGGCCAGAUGCUGCGUGCGGGGACCGAGGACUGCGGCCGUGUAGGUCACGGAUGCUGGCAGAACGGCGCAACACCGCCC